UCUAUCUUAAAACAGAGAAGAGGAGGGGAAUUCCACAUUAGCUAAAGGUUGUGCUUUCACAGUGCUACUUGUGAGUACACAGCAAAACAAGAAACAAUACACAAAAUGACAUCACAGCAUGACUGCAUUAGACCAGGAAUGUGCUUAGGAUCACCCUCCAGGCUGAUGACUCAGGCAACAACCUCCUCAGAGAGUGAAUGAGGAGAUGAUCCUUGUUCCCAUCCCUUCAAAACAAUGGAAGUUUGAGUGGAAGGAACUCUAUCAGCAGCUGCAUCCAUCUCCAGCCAUAUCUUCCAGAGGCACAUGGAGACUGCCAGGUGAGCUGUCCCCCAAGGGCAGCACACUCAACUCUUUAUUCCACCUUCCACUCCACUCCAGGACUCUCCUAAGAGCCCUGCAAAACUCUCAGAUAAGACCAGGCCUGCAGUUCACCGUGUGAACAAUUGUCUGUCUCCCUGUCCAUCCAUCUGAUUUGGAGAAGUAAGCCCAAUUAAAAGCUUUGCACUUGGGCACCCUGACAUGCUUUUCCUUGUCUCAGUCAUGCUCAGCUGCCCAGCCUCACCUCAAUUAGUUCUGCAGGUCACUCCUGGAGCAGCUUUCAUCACACAUUAGAUUUUCUGCCCUCCAGGAAGGCUCUGCUUCAGAUCAGGUUUGCAUUUAACACAGCAGCAAAGAUUUCAGCUUUCCAGAAGGAUACAUUUCAUCUGACUGUAAAGCCCUAAGUAUUUCAGGAUCCCUCUUCAAGACACAAAUCCUUGGCAGUAUUUUUUUUUUAGGGAAGUUUCUAAACUUCACAGAUAAAGCAGUCAAACCCUAGACAGGACAUGCAGAAAUCAGGAGGCCAAGAAACUCUUACCUGUCCAGGCCUCCAACCAUGAGGAGCUGCUUGAACUGCUGAGGACUCUGUGGCAGAGAGUAGAACUUGC